GACGAACGCUGGCGGCGUGCCUAAUACAUGCAAGUAGAACGCUGAAGGAGGAGCUUGCUUCUCUGGAUGAGUUGCGAACGGGUGAGUAACGCGUAGGUAACCUGCCUGGUAGCGGGGGAUAACUAUUGGAAACGAUAGCUAAUACCGCAUAAUAGCAGUUGUUGCAUGACAACUGAUUGAAAGGUGCAAUUGCACCACUACCAGAUGGACCUGCGUUGUAUUAGCUAGUUGGUGGGGUAACGGCUCACCAAGGCGACGAUACAUAGCCGACCUGAGAGGGGGAUCGGCCACACUGGGCCUGGGACACGGCCCAGACUCCUACGGGAGGCAGCAGUAGGGAAUCUUCGGCAAUGGACGGAAGUCUGACCGAGCAACGCCGCGUGUGUGAAGAAGGUUUUCGGCUCGUAAAGCUCUGUUGUAAGAGAAGAACGGGUGUGAGAGUGGAAAGUUCACACUGUGACGGUAUCUUACCAGAAAGGGACGGCUAACUACGUG
rnacentral:rRNA from 1 species